rnacentral:rRNA from 1 species
UACGUAGGGGGCUAGCGUUGUCCGGAAUCAUUGGGCGUAAAGAGCGUGUAGGCGGCCCGGUAAGUCCGCUGUGAAAGUCGGGGGCUCAACCCUCGAAUGCCGGUGGAUACUGUCGGGCUAGAGUGCGGAAGAGGCGAGUGGAAUUCCUGGUGUAGCGGUGAAAUGCGCAGAUAUCAGGAGGAACACCAAUUGCGAAGGCAGCUCGCUGGGACGGUACUGACGCUGAGACGCGAAAGCGUGGGGAGCGAACAGG